UCCUGUUAAGUCAGGCAACGAGCGAGACCCACGCCCACAGUUGCCAGCGUACUCUCCGGAGUGACGGGUACACUGUGGGACCGCCGCUGCUAAAGCGGAGGAAGGAAUGGGCAACGGUAGGUCAGUAUGCCCCGAAUAUCCCGGGCUACACGCGAGCUACAAUGGUUGGUACAAUGGGUAUCUACCCCGAAAGGGGACGGGAAUCUCCUAAAACCAAUCUUAGUUCGGAUUGAGGGCUGCAACUCGCCCUCAUGAAGCUGGAAUCCGUAGUAAUCGCGUUUCAACAGAACGCGGUGAAUACGUCCCUGCUCCUU
rnacentral:rRNA from 1 species